UGUGUAUGAACAUGAAUGUGUGUGUUUGCAUCUGCCUGUAUACUAAAGGACUGCAGAAAGGGAUUGGUGACCUGUCCAAGGUAUACCCUGCCUCUCAACCCAUGUCAGGUGGGACUGGCUCCAGCUCACCUGCAAUCCGCAAUGGAUAAACGAUUUGGCACAGGCCGCUGCAGUGUGUGGCCCUUUCAGAAAAAGGCCUUUGCACUGGAAUCAUGUUAACCACCUGUUACUAAUCCAGUGGCAUUAAUCGAUGAGUGGAAGUCGCGUGUGCCGCCUGUGGUUCAGACAUUCCCCAACUACGUGUGGACACCCUCUCUCCAGGCAGUAAAACUGAGACAGCCGCCAGCCACGGAGACAUGCUGAGGCCUGUCCUGCUGGAGAAAUUAAAAUGUCAGGAUUAAACACACACACACACACACACAUACACACGUUCCUCCUACACCUACUCACAUGGCACGCCAUGGUUGUGUGGCCAGAGUUGCUAAAUCCUGUGGCUUCAUUUACAGAGUUAAUUUUAUUUAAAAAAAAAAAGCCAUUAAUUCAGGUAGAAAUGGGAACAUGCUACUCCCCUGUGAUUUUAAAGGCUCCUUAAAGGCUCAAAUGAUCUGGCUGGGGUCGUAAUAUGUCCUGCAGUUAGUCUUCAUCAGUUAUUGAUUCAUGCACUCCUGUUAACCCAUUUCUUGAAAGGCUUAUUUUUUAAACUCCCUGUGUUAAAUAUAUAUGGGGGCCUACAUGAGUGGAUCCUCACCCUUUAUGUGAACACAUGAGAAUGCAUUUGUGAAAAUAAAGGGUGGGUUCAUGUAUUUUCAGUAGGAUAAGUGGUAACAGUAUGACCUCUUUGUGAUAGUAAUUCAACAUCUCCUUUGGGACUGACUGAGACAUCACUACUGGAUAAACAAACAAAGGAAAAGAUACAUCAUGACAGCAAAAAGGCCUCUCUGAAUCAAACUCAAGAUUAAAAGCUAUUGCUCAAACAUCUCGUAGCUGAGUCUUGAGUUGCCAGGUGACUGGAGCGAGGCCUUCCUGAGGGCUGCCCAUCCUUAAAUAAACG